rnacentral:rRNA from 1 species
UACGAAGGGGGCUAGCGUUGUUCGGAGUUACUGGGCGUAAAGGGCGCGUAGGCGGCGCACCAAGUCAGGCGUGAAAGCCCUGGGCUCAACCCGGGAAUUGCGCUUGAGACUGGUGUGCUAGAGUACGGGAGAGGAUAGUGGAAUUCCCAGUGUAGAGGUGAAAUUCGUAGAUAUUCGCAAGAACACCGAUGGCGAAGGCAGGUCUCUGGGCCAUUACUGACACUGAGGUGCGAAAGCGUGGGGAGCAAACAGG